GGACUACCAGGGUUUCUAAUCCUGUUUGCUCCCCACGCUUUCGCACCUCAGCGUCAGAAUCGGACCAGUGAGCCGCCUUCGCCACUGGUGUUCUUCCUAAUAUCUACGAAUUUCACCUCUACACUAGGAAUUCCACUCACCUCUUCCGAUCUCUAGACUGCCAGUAUCAAAGGCAAUUCCAGGGUUGAGCCCUGGGCUUUCACCUCUAACUUAACAAUCCGCCUACGUGCGCUUUACGCCCAGUAAUUCCGAACAACGCUAGCCCCCUUCGUAUUACCGCGGCUGCUGGCAC
rnacentral:rRNA from 1 species